AGUGAACGCUGGCGGUAGGCCUAACACAUGCAAGUCGAACGGCAGCACAGUAAGAGCUUGCUCUUACGGGUGGCGAGUGGCGGACGGGUGAGGAAUACAUCGGAAUCUACUUUUUCGUGGGGGAUAACGUAGGGAAACUUACGCUAAUACCGCAUACGACCUACGGGUGAAAGCAGGGGAUCUUCGGACCUUGCGCGAUUGAAUGAGCCGAUGUCGGAUUAGCUAGUUGGCGGGGUAAAGGCCCACCAAGUCGACGAUCCGUAGCUGGUCUGAGAGGAUGAUCAGCCACACUGGAACUGAGACACGGUCCAGACUCCUACGGGAGGCAGCAGUGGGGAAUAUUGGCCAAUGGGCGCAAGCCUGAUCCAGCCAUACCGCGUGGGUGAAGAAGGCCUUCGGGUUGUAAAGCCCUUUUGUUGGGAAAGAAAAGCAGCAGGUUAAUACCCCGCUGUUCUGACGGUACCCAAAGAAUAAGCACCGGCUAACUUCGUG
rnacentral:rRNA from 1 species